rnacentral:snRNA from 1 species
GUGCUUGCUUCGGCAGCACAUAUACUAAAAUCCUACAAAAUGGAGAUUAUGGCCCCCGUGCAAGGGUGAUAUGCAGAUUCCUGAAGCAUUCCAUAUUUUU